CUUCGCACGAUUUUUCUUCAUCAACAUUUUGUACCAGAAACGCAGAAGAUGACAGUAAGAGGCAUUUUUGUAAUUUAUAUUUACUUGGUCACGAAUGCGCCACCCAAUCGAGUAGUCGUACUGCACUGCUGCACUCUCAUCACGAGCACAUUGAAAUGCAGGCGCAUGAGACACCAGUUCGAACCGUAGCACAGAAAUGUGCACAAAUACACUUGAGCAUAUGCAUAUGUGUAAAUACAUACAAACAUGGUUACAUGCCUAUGCAUAUGUAAGCUAUGACACAGAUCAGAGAUAUGCUUGAAUGCACUUUCAAGUGUAUAGAUCGCAAGUGUUGUUUCUUUAACAAUGUGUCAAGUUUAUGAAGUAUUCAUAUAAACAAAAUUAAUAGCGCUGUUCAAUUUUACGAAAAAAUAAUCCGUUCUGACUAUAGGACCUUGGUUAUGCUGAGCGAAUCGGAUUCAUUUGUAAUUUCCACAGGAAUAAGGGCUCAGAUAGAGGAAAAUGACCGGCGAAAUAUUAGGGAAGAAUUUAAACGAUAACUAUCUGGACAGUUUACCGUUGGCUGUGACCCCAAGUACUGCUCGCAGGUCGUUAAAACUUGAAUAUCUAGUGAAAAUGUUAAAAUUCUGGAUUGGCCAGCUCAAAAUCUAGACCUAAAUCCUAUAGAAAAUGUAUGGGCGAUAAUAAAGAGACUAGCUGUACAAAAACCUAGCAACAAACAUUUUUUAUGGAAAAUAAUAAAGGUAGAGUGCAACAAAAUAAAUCCCUCCCAAUGUGCUAAAGCAAUAAAGGAUACCCAACUAAUUAUUAGCUUUAGGUGAUUUAUUAUAUGAGCACAACAUUUUGGAUGGGCUAAUACAUACGAAUUCUUGUAAAUUGUGCAUUUUGGAUUACAGUGCAUGAUUUAAUCAGAACUUGACUUCUUAUCGUUGCCACACACCAUCUCCUAGUACUACUGCUAAGAAUCUCACCAGGAGAGGUUUGAGCAUUAAGCUUACGUACAUUCUAUAUUAAUCUGCAAGUAAUGUGAAUUUCCCCCACCCCGUUCGAGGCUACUCCUUGUUUUAUUGGCGUCUCGAAAAGUUAGAUGAAAAGGUGUAGAUAGAAUUAUAGACAUUUACAACGCUCAUAAAAGCAAUAAAAUGUUCAUAGUUUCAGAUUUAUUUAUAGCACAUAGCAUGGUAUAUGUAUAAUAUUCUACCUUAAAGCUAAAUAUGAAUUUUCUUGUAUGUACAUACAUAGAUUUGUAUAUUUAGUGUAAUCUGUGAUCUCUAUAUAUGCAAAUAUCGUAUAUACAAGUACAUAAUAUUUGUGUGCAUAAGUAUGCAAUUGAUAUGUUUGGUUUACAAUUUGUUAGAAUCGUUUAAAUAAACCUAUACAUGAAGAGUA